rnacentral:lncRNA from 1 species
GGAGGCAGGGUGCAUUCGUCUAUAUCAACGCAUUGCUCCCCUCGUUUCUGAUAGCCUGGAGGACACUGGCAGCUGAAGGACCCUCUGAGAUUGACACACACUUGGUCAGCUCUGCAGUUAUGAGUUCCUGUAGCACAUUCAUCUAUAUCUUGGCACACAUUGUGCUCACUUUGCUCAUACCCAGCUGCACACUGAAUUUGAUGAGUUGGGUUUGGAGGGGCACGGUGAGGAUCAGCUGGAGUCCGGCGAAUGACGUUGUUUCGACCACUAGUGGAUUCAGCUGCUGCUUCUUCUCGUUCAUUUACAAUAAUUUGGGCUGUUCUAGGUAGACAGAGGUAUCCUCCAUAGUGGUUAACACAUUUCAUCCCACCUUUACAUGCAUCUGGGACUAUUUCACAUUCAUCAAUAUCUUUGCACCGCUGCCUAACAGGAUCCCAUUCAUAGCCAUCUGUGCAUUGCGUGUACGUUAUGGUUUCCUCAGUUUCCUGUGAAUGUACUGUAAUAAGAAUGAGAGCAGCCAAGAACAUAGCUGUCAACAUCAUGAACCUGGGCACCGCGGCCAGCACGCAGCCCCUUCCUGAGCGGCAGCUGAGGGGAAGCCCUGGCAGCGCGGCCAGCCCGCUGCGCCCGAUCCAGCUGCGGCGGGGCCGGGGCGGCUGCUCCCGGCGGCACGCUACCGCGGCGGCUCGGCCCCGUCCGUCCGCUGGCUCCGCUGCGGUGCCGGCACCCGCUCCCCCCCCCGGGCCUUCA